UCGCCCUUAGAGUUUGAUCCUGGCUCAGGAUGAACGCUAGCUACAGGCUUAACACAUGCAAGUCGAGGGGAAACGACAUCGAAAGCUUGCUUUUGAUGGGCGUCGACCGGCGCACGGGUGAGUAACGCGUAUCCAACCUGCCCACCACUUGGGGAUAACCUUGCGAAAGUAAGACUAAUACCCAAUGAUAUCUCUAGAAGACAUCUGAAAGAGAUUAAAGAUUUAUCGGUGAUGGAUGGGGAUGCGUCUGAUUAGCUUGUUGGCGGGGUAACGGCCCACCAAGGCAACGAUCAGUAGGGGUUCUGAGAGGAAGGUCCCCCACAUUGGAACUGAGACACGGUCCAAACUCCUACGGGAGGCAGCAGUGAGGAAUAUUGGUCAAUGGACGAGAGUCUGAACCAGCCAAGUAGCGUGCAGGAUGACGGCCCUAUGGGUUGUAAACUGCUUUUAUAAGGGAAUAAAGUGAGUCUCGUGAGACUUUUUGCAUGUACCUUAUGAAUAAGGACCGGCUAAUUCCGUGCCAGCAGCCGCGGUAAUACGGAAGGUCCGGGCGUUAUCCGGAUUUAUUGGGUUUAAAGGGAGCGUAGGCCGGAGAUUAAGCGUGUUGUGAAAUGUAGACGCUCAACGUCUGCACUGCAGCGCGAACUGGUUUCCUUGAGUACGCACAAAGUGGGCGGAAUUCGUGGUGUAGCGGUGAAAUGCUUAGAUAUCACGAAGAACUCCGAUUGCGAAGGCAGCUCACUGGAGCGCAACUGACGCUGAAGCUCGAAAGUGCGGGUAUCGAACAGGAUUAGAUACCCUGGUAGUCCGCACGGUAAACGAUGGAUGCCCGCAGUUGGUCUGAAUAGGUCAGCGGCC
rnacentral:rRNA from 1 species